UCUUUGUACCAUCUUUAAAUAUUAUAUUAUAGAUAGAUUAUGCUCUUUGAUUAAUCUUUGAUUCUUUCUCUCAUCCACAAGACAAACAUUCUAAUGAGAACAUCAACAUUUCGUUUAUGUCUUCUAAUUGUUGUUGUAAUAUGUUUGUUAUUAUUUGGAGCAAUUUCAAGAUUGAAUAUUCCAAAUGUUUCUUACUAUGCCACAAUCACAAAUGUACAAC
rnacentral:lncRNA from 1 species